rnacentral:rRNA from 1 species
UGCAGUCGCACGGGCGGAGGUUUCGGCCUUUGUCAGUGGCGGACGGGUGAGUAACGCGUAGGUAUCUGUCCUGGGGUGGGGGAUAACCGUGGGAAACUACGGCUAAUACCGCAUGACACCUGAGGGUCAAAGCUCGUGAGAGCGCCUGAGGAGGAGCCUGCGUCCGAUUAGCUAGUUGGUGGGGUAAAGGCCUACCAAGGCGAUGAUCGGUAGCUGGUCUGAGAGGAUGAUCAGCCACACUGGGACUGAGACACGGCCCAGACUCCUACGGGAGGCAGCAGUGGGGAAUAUUGGACAAUGGGCGCAAGCCUGAUCCAGCAAUGCCGCGUGGGUGAAGAAGGUCUUCGGAUUGUAAAGCCCUUUCGGCGGGGACGAUGAUGACGGUACCCGCAGAAGAAGCCCCGGCUAACUUCGUGCCAGCAGCCGCGGUAAUACGAAGGGGGCUAGCGUUGCUCGGAAUGACUGGGCGUAAAGGGCGCGUAGGCGGUGGCUACAGUCAGGCGUGAAAUUCCUGGGCUUAACCUGGGGGCUGCGUUUGAUACGUAGUGGCUAGAGUGGGGAAGAGGGUCGUGGAAUUCCCAGUGUAGAGGUGAAAUUCGUAGAUAUUGGGAAGAACACCGGUGGCGAAGGCGGCGACCUGGUCCUUGACUGACGCUGAGCGCGAAAGCGUGGGGAGCAAACAGGAUUAGAUACCCUGGUAGUCCACGCUGUAAACGAUGUGCGCUGGAUGUUGGGCGGCCUAGCCGUUCAGUGUCGUAGCUAACGCGAUAAGCGCACCGCCUGGGGAGUACGG